rnacentral:rRNA from 1 species
AUGCAGUCGAACGGAAGGCCCGCUUGCGGGUACUCGAGUGGCGAACGGGUGAGUAACACGUGGGUAACCUGCCCCCAUCUCUGGGAUAACCGUUGGAAACGGCGGCUAAUACCGGAUACGACCACCUUCCGCAUGGUUGGUGGUGGAAAGUUUUUGCGGUUGGGGAGGGGCCCGCGGCCUAUCAGCUUGUUGGUGCGGUAGUGGCGCACCAAGGCUUUGACGGGUAGCCGGCCUGAGAGGGCGGUCGGUCACAUUGGGACUGAGAUACGGCCCAGACUCCUACGGGAGGCAGCAGUGGGGAAUUUUGCACAAUGGGCGCAAGCCUGAUGCAGCGACGCCGCGUGAGGGAUGACGGCUUUCGGGUUGUAAACCUCUUUUAUCCACCACGAAGGCCAGGUAUUCGCCUGGUUGACGGUAGUGGUUGAAUAAGCGCCGGCUAACUACGUGCCAGCAGCCGCGGUAAGACGUAGGGCGCGAGCGUUGUCCGGAUUUAUUGGGCGUAAAGGGCUCGUAGGCGGUUGAUUGCGUCCGCCGUGAAAGGCCUCGGCUUAACCGGGGUUUUGCGGUGGAUACGGGUCGACUUGAGGCAAUUAGGGGAGAUCGGAAUUCUACGUGUAGCGGUGAAAUGCGCAGAUAUGUGGAGGAACACCGGUGGCGAAGGCGGAUCUCUGGGAUUGUUCUGACGCUGAGGAGCGAAAGCGUGGGGAGCGAACAGGAUUAGAUACCCUGGUAGUCCAUGCUGUAACGGUGGGCGCUAGGUGUGGGGUCACGUUGGUUGAUUCUGUGCCGUAGCUAACGCAUUAAGCGCCCGCCUGGGGAGUACGGCCGCAGGCUAAACUCAAGGAAUUGACGGGGCCCGCACAGCGGCGGAGCAUGCG